rnacentral:rRNA from 1 species
GUCCACGCUGUAAACGAUGGGAACUAGGUGUGAGAGGUUAGAUCCUCUCGUGCCGCCGCUAACGCAUUAAGUUCCCCGCCUGGGGAUUACGGCCGCAAGGUUAAAACUCAAAGGAAUUGACGGGGGCCCGCACAAGCGGUGGAGCAUGUGGUUCAAUUCGACGCAACGCGAAGAACCUUACCUGGGCUAGACAACGGUGGACCGCCCCAGAGACGGGGCUUUCCCUUCGGGGACUGCCGGUUCAGGUGCUGCAUGGCUGUCGU